rnacentral:rRNA from 1 species
GACGUAGGGCGCGAGCGUUGUCCGGAUUUAUUGGGCGUAAAGAGCUCGUAGGCGGCUCAUUGCGUCAACCGUGAAAACCUGCAGCUUAACUGUGGGCUUGCGGUUGAUACGGGUGGGCUGGAGUUCGGUAGGGGAGACUGGAAUUCCUGGUGUAGCGGUGAAAUGCGCAGAUAUCAGGAGGAACACCGGUGGCGAAGGCGGGUCUCUGGGACGGUACUGACGCUGAGACGCGAAAGCGUGGGGAGCGAACAGG